AGUGGGAUACCUGGGUCAAAUGGUGGUUUCAUUCCAAGUUUUCUGAAGAACCUCCACACUGCUUUCCAGAGUGGUUGCACCAGUUUGCAGUCCCACCAGCAAU
rnacentral:pre_miRNA from 1 species